UCGUCGUUCCUUCUUGGUGUCUACUCGCAACCCUCCACUACCAUAUCCUCGCAUUCCAACUUUGCGUCUUUGCGUUUGUAUGUACAAGUGUGCGAGUUUGGUGCCGUGAGAGUGGGAUGUCACGCUAUAAAACACCUUACGGCACUGCCUGCAGGAAGGAAGGAAGCAGCAAAGAUCCACCCGUAAACGUUACGAUGGAACGCCUGUACCUACCUACUCUUAAAACCGGAAGGAUCGUCUCACGGUGUUUACAAUGGCUCGUGCAACUUGACUUUUGACGUUCAGCAAACAUAAUAUAUAUUUGUGAUAUCUACUUGGGUGGUUUGCAAUCAUGAUAUGGCGUUCUGAUUUUCUAGAUGACGGAUGAUCCUUGCAGGGGUGAUACUGAUGUCUUUUUUUCUACAAUUGCUGAAAAUAAAUCGUGCAAAUUCUUUCGCUACGAACUUGGAAUCUCUUAAGUAUUCAACCUCAUAUGGAAUCCGAGACAACGUAGUGGAAAAUACUUGGAGAAGCGGAUAUUUAUCGAUUCACUAAAAUUCUUUCGACAUUUUAUCGAAAUGGAACAUCUUUCCCGUAACGAUUAUUUCCAUGUCCAAAAUUGUUCUACAAUAUGAUAUCGAAGAAUACGAGAAAAAUAAUUCAAGUAUACUAUAAUAAGGACAUUCUAUGUGUCUGGUAUAGUUGAAAUUUAUUUUAUUAAUUUUUUUCUAAUCUGUUAUCUAUUUGACGCAACGAACAAGAUAUUACAUUCUUUUCUUUUACUUUAUAACGAAGAAAGAUUUCAUUCAAAAGUUAUAAAACGCAGAAAUAAGCGGAUGGCGAGAAAUUCCUAGCAAAAUUCUUUUAAGAAACAGGAUGCCGUGCCGUUGGCGCCAGAGAUUAAUAAUGUAAUUACAGUCUCAACGAACUGACGACGUCGCGAAGCUUGCCAAAUCAAAUCGCCACCCGUCCCGUCCUAUUCCAUCGCGUGUCAAUUUCAUACAACCUUUGUCUGAUGCGUCAUGUUAAACGCAUGACUUCUUUUGGUCAAAACAAUCCAUUUUUUUUCUUUCCUUACAUUUUUUUAAAUAGUUUCAAGAAUAUUCAAUUAAAGUUACAGAUCAAAAUUUUGAAAAAUGACGAAGUAAUAACGAUAAUAGCAAUGGGAUAAUUAGCGAUCUCAAUUAAUGCUUUCAAAUCGAACAACUAUUUCAUCCCUUAACUUUUCUUUACCGUUUUAAAUCUUUUUAUUUUAUUUCAAGCUCUAGAUUGCCGUACAAAUUUACGUAGGUAUCACGUCAAAUCAUACUAUGACAAAUAUUUACGCCAAUGGCUGAGAAUCAGCCAUUUAUCAUUAUUCUUAAAUGAAAAAAUUUACAUUUUAAUCUUCGAAGUACG